rnacentral:lncRNA from 1 species
GGUUUAUCUUUUCUGAGUGCAUGAUAACUAAAAAGUUGUAAGGCUUCCGGGUAACCUAACUCUCUAACGUCGUAAAAUUCAUUGACAAGGUGUUCAGCUAGAACAGCUUUGUUUCUUGUUGUAACAAUAACUCGACUUCCUUCACCGUACCAGCUUCUAUUCCCUGCUAGUGCAUUCAGUUCGCUUACAUCAUCCACAUCAUCUAAGACAAUUAGUACCCGCUUCUCAUGAACCAACAUUUUGAUUGCGGCAACACCUUUAUCAAUAUUAUUUACAAGAGGCCAGUUUGGGGAAAGAUCACGAAGAAGUUUGUUCUGCAGUUUUACUAGACCACCAUCUUCUUUAGAAAUAUCUUUAACGUUCAAGAUGAAACUACGACUCUCAAAAUGACCCACAAGUUUAUUGAAGAGAGCUGUGGCAAGAGUUGUUUUACCAAUCCCGCCCAUACCAUGAAGUCCCAGAACUUGAACGCGAUUUGAUUUAUCAUCUAUGAACCUCUUCUUGAAGCCUUCUACACGGGAAUCCAGUCCAACGGUAUAAUUAGCUAUACCCACCGGGGUUUUUCUCAAUUCUGUCAAAAUCCUAUUCCCCAAACGCCGAAUCAACUGAUCUUCUGAUCUGUAAUAAAAUAAUAUAUAAAGCUUUGGUAAGGUGAACAAUUAGCAGAGUUGGCUGUGUUUUCCUACAAAAGUGAUAACUCUACAUAAUUGCAAUGAUAGGAUCCUUGGCCAUGGUAGUAAAUCCCAUGAGUUGCUGCUUAAAACUGGAAUUCUCUUUAACGCUAUUGGAAAUCCCAGGUUCCACCCAAAAGUUAAGUUGCAACAGGCUUCGGCCUUCCUUGUAAAGACCAAUUAACUAGCUAAUGUGAAUCCAUUAUUAAAGCUCACUUUCUACAUGAAUGAAGCUCAAGCUUAACUCAUUAAAGCUCUUUCUUUUUUCUUAAUUUUUUUUUUAGUGAAAACGAUCAUGCGUGCGUGCUUUUAUUAAUAGAAGAUAUCUAAAGAUACAACGAAAAGAACUCUAGGGAAAUGAUCGAGUUAUAGCAUUAAUUCGGUUCGUGGGACAUGUUUAUAAAGAAACUCAUUUGCAUGUUAAUUUAUGAAAUUUAAGAAGCAAAACAACUUGUAUAAUUUCAUGUAAUAAACUUAUUUCAUAUGUAAUUAAAAACACUAUUUUUAUCAAAUAAAAUUCAAUAAGAAUUUAAAAAUAACAUUGUGCUACGGUUCAUCUUGAGUGCUUUAUCCCAAAAUCGUCCUUGGCUUAUGUGUUGUUGAAGGCUGGUUGGCAGGGGUAGUUUCAGGUUUUGGUUCCUUUCUUUAUUUGAGACUUUAUUGCGCCAACAAAAAAAGGGUGGGAACCAAGGUAGAAUCGGGUUUUAGUGUUUUUUUUUUCUUGGAGGCAUUCCGUUUAUGUUUUUCUGAGGGGCUUGGCUGGGGCAAAAAAUCACAAUCGUUGCUGCUGUGAGAAUAGCUUGGAUGUUGGUGUGCAGGCUUGGCAUUGCGUCUUCGUCUUCUCGGAUGUGUGCUUCUGUGAUUUAGCUGCAUUUGGCUCUGGUGUCGGCUCCCUGCUGCAAGUCGCUGGUGGUUGGCUUCUUGCUUCACUUGGGCUCUGUUGUUUUCCUGGAGUUGUCUCUGGGAGGAUGCCAUGCAGUCAUAAUCGUGCAUUUAAUGCAAGACCCAAUUGGCUAGGCCCUUUUUUCCUUCGAUUACAUUGGGAGGGUUGCCGCUUUCUCGGCUAGAUUGGACGUUCUUAGGUGAGUUAGAUUUUGGUUUGUUGGUUUCGGUUCCUUGGGAUCUUGCUGCCCUUUUUAUGUUGCCAAGGGGGCUGUUGGUUUGUGAUUGAAACACUAUGCUCAUUUGGUUUGGUUUCGGUGAGUUAUUUUGUUAUUUUAAAAAGAAAUGUUCUGUCACUUCAUUUUCUUAUUUGUUAAUAGUUUGGCAUGCUACUGCUUGCAUUUGGUUUGCCAUUCUUUCACGUCAUUUCUUUGGGGUCUGAAGGGGCGCAUGGUUUUAGAGUCGGUUUGUCAUUGCAAUUUCCUUUCGUUCGGAUCUUUUGGGUCUGCAUGUUUUUCUUUUGGGGUUUGGGUAAUUCCCAGCUAUUGCUUUGUCUUUCCAUUGUUUGUUGUUGUCCUUCUGCUUAGUGGUCGCUUCUUUUUUUUGGGUUUGAAUGAUGCUUCAGGAUUCCAUGUAUCUUUUUUGCUCUAACGUUUUUCUUUUUAAAUAAAUGUCUUGUUUGCAGCUCUGAUUUCUGUAAAUUGAACUGGGAGGUGUUGGAUUUUGAUCGGUUCUUGGUUGGCCUACUUAUGUUUUUUCCUUGGUGUCUUGCAUUGUGAGUUGUUUUCUUUUCGCUCUGGCUUGAUUUGGUUUGCCUUGCCAGUCACUUGAUUUUGUUUGUUGUGUUGAUUUUCUCGGUCUUAUUAAUCCAUUUUCUGUUUUUUCGUUUCCCGUUUUUGUUUGGUGCUUGCAUGUGUGGUGUUGUUUGAGGGGUAUGUCUGGCUUUUUCAAAAAAAAUUGUUUCUUGCUGGUUUGGGUUGGUGUUUGGCUGUGGUCCACGUUGUCAAGUGGUCUUUAUUGUUGCCUGUGUGUGCUGCAAAUAAGGCUUUCCUUUUCUGCAAAUGUUGUCUGUAGCUUUGUUGUACCAAAAACAUUUGAUCCAAUGUUGGUUCUUGGUUGUCAAAGUGUGUAUGUGGCUUAUUGUGUGUGUGGCUUGGAGGAUAUUGACUUUUUGUCUUUUUUUGUGCCGGGUAGAUUUUACAGAGCAACAUUCUGCUGUUGAAGCAGGGUUGCUCUGAAUGGCUUGGACGGGAACAUGGUUGAUUUUAUGGUUGAUGUUUAGAGCAUAUAGGAUUAUUCGUUGUUAUAUGCCAUCAAAUGAUUAGGCUUGGGUGUAGGGCAAGUUUGGAUUGCCUUCUUCUUUUGAACAACACCAUUUUGGAUUCUGUUUUGUUCAUCUGGGUUGGUGUGUUUUAGAGUGUUAAUAUAGGGUGGGUAAGGGGGUAUAAGCUGGAUGAGUUGGGGUAUGCUUGCUAGGCGUUGGGAAAAGAAUUUAGGGGUUUGUUUUGUGCAAACAAACUUGGACUGUCUUCAACUAAUUAAUGAUAGGCUUGGCUUCAAAUGAAAGGGGAGUAUUAGGCUUCAGAUUGAGUGUGUCGUUCUCUUUUUUGUUUAUGCGAAUUGAAUUGUGUCUUGUUCGGUUGGGCAGGAAUGUGUUGCGAAUUGAGUUGUGUCUUGUUCGGUUGGGCAGGAAUGUGCGAAAUUCCAUAUUUUUUAUGAUAAAUUAUUUUUUCAGUUUUUCAUUGCUUUUCUUUGCAAAGCCAAUUAAAACCAUAUUGCACCUACUUUCAUAUAAACAUAAGAUUUACUUACCUCUGUAGAUUUCAUGCAUUUGCCUCCUAUAACUUGCGGUUUUAUUUAAUUAAAUCUACAACUUUAGCUCUAUCUACCUGCAACUUUUGUUAUUCUUUAUUUAUGCAUGUUCUGAGGAUUAUUAUAAGGCUGUCAACUAAUUUGUGGAUCACCUUAGCACUUUUGGAAUUUUUGUUAUCUCCAGCGUAAUCUUUUGUUUGCAUCAUUGGCCUUUAUAUGUAUUUUCCCACCCCCAAGAACAACAAAAAGCCAAAGAGAAGGGUGUGGAAGAAAUACAUCACCUGGUGUCAAAAACGAAACCAGAAAUACCACCAACUUUAUUCAUGGCUUCUCUCCACUUGCCCACCUUCUCCUCCCCAAACCUCUCCAUGUGAUUCAUAAAAUCUUGUUCGAGAGGACCCUUCUGUCUCCUAACAUGGGAUGGAUCAACUUGGUAGAACACAGGCAGGAUCAGCCUCUUCAACUCGCAUAUUCUAGCUAGCUCCUCAAGACACCAAUGAGAGUUGGCAUACCUUGGUGAAAGAAUAAUGAUCGAUAAGGCUGAAUCUUCAAUGGCCUCCAUCAGAGUUGGAGCAAUCUCGUCUCCCUGAGUCAUUCCAGAGUCAUCUAAGAAGACUCUGAAGUCUUGCUUGCUUAAUGAAUCGUAGAGAUUUUUGGUGAAGCCGUGGCGGGUGUCUUCUCCACGAAAACUUAAGAACACAUCCCAGUGGAGUCUGAGAGCUGCCGGAGAGGAUGAAACAAUCAGGCUAUUGGCCAUUGGGCGUGGCUAUUUGGUUCUUUCUUUAUUUUCCUUCCUUUUAUCGUGGUCAUGUAGUUGGUUGCAUUAUAACUCGGUCCGUGCUUCCCGUUAUAAUAUUUUUGCAUUUUAAAAAUACAGUAAAAUAAUAUAAAAUUCCCUCGUACAAUAAAGUCAAGAUUCCCAAACGUGAGAAAAAAAAAAAAAAAAAAAAAAAGAACAAGUGGCAAAAGUAAGAUAUCGAAUAUGACACUGACGGCUUUGGUUGAUUUGCGGAAAAUAUCUUAUUGUGUUUUUUAAAAAACUAUAUUUUUAUGUAUUUAUUUUUAUAAAAUAUUUUAUACAAAAAUUAAUCAAUAAAAAUUAUUUUAUAAUUAAUUAUUAAACUUAAUUUAUUUAUUAAAAAAUAUUUUCAUCUUAUAAAAUUUUAUAAAAUAUUUUAUAAAAAAUAUUUCAUUGAUGAUUUCAUUUAAUUAUUUUAACUACAAUCUUCGUCUCAUCACCAUAAUUAUCAUCUUUUAUUUCUUUAUUAUCAUUUUUUCUUUAUUUCUACAACUAUUAUCUUUUUUUUCUACCAUCACCUCCUAUUCCUCGAUCAUCAUCAUUUCUUUUUUAUUAUUAUUAUCACCUCAUCACUGCUUUUUUUAUUGUCAUCCCUCCUUUUAUUUCACCAUUAUUGUUAUUGUUUUUUAUUUUACCAUCACUAUUAUUGAAAAAUAUUUUAUUUAUAGAACGAAAUAUAUUUCAAGAUAAACAUUUAAAAAGUAUUUUAUAUGUAAAAUAUUGUAUAUUAAAAAAUAUUUUAGGUAAAAUAAAGAACCCUAUUGAACAAUAACCUUUUUUUAAUAUAUAUAUAUAUAUAUAUAUAUAUAUAUAUAUAUAUAAAAUAAAUUAAAUGAAAUUUUUUUUGCAAUUUUUUUUUAUUUUAUUUUUCAAACUUGAAUAAAGGAUGCAAUGCGAAACCAAAUGACGCAAGUCCUAAAAUGCGAAUACACAAAAUAUGUUAAAGAGGAAAAUUAAACGAAGAACAAAGAAACAUGAAAACUGCAGUGUCAAACAAAGCUAGGGGUUUUUCUAUAAAUGGUUUAAUUGGGAGUGCCCUAACAGCAAGAGGAUGAAUUUGUUUUUGGUAAGUGUUUUAAUAAAAAUUUAAUUUUUUAUGUUUUAAAAUUAUUUUAAUGUUUUAAUGUUAAAAAUAAAUUUUAAUAAAAAAUCUAUAUAUUAUUUUAAUAUUUUUAAAAUAAAAAAUAUUUAAAAAAACAAUUGUUACUACAAUAUUAAACAAACUUCAAAUUAGUGAAUUUAUAGUUUAAUUGCUACCCAACUACUCAAGUAAAAUUUGAGAGAGAUUAAUAAAGAAAUGAACUUGACUAUUAGAAGCCUAUUUAUUUUUAUUUUUUUAUGAAGAUACAAUCUUGGGUAUAAUCUUGAAUAAAUUACUAAAAACAUGUGGUAAUUGGAUUACACAAAUAUUUUACAUUCUCGGGUCGUUGAGGUUAAAUAAGUUAGAAUUUUGAUUUUAAAUUAUAAUUAAAUCAUCACAUUAACAUAAAGAAACCCAAAACAACCUAAAUCAAAGUCAAUUUUUAAAAUUCCCCUAAUUUUUAAAACCAAUAACUAGGCAAACCCCAUGAUCGACUAAAAUUCCUUUAAUUUACAUAAUAAACAUGUUAUUGCAUCAUAAAUUAACAAAGAAUCAUUCAAAUUAUCUUUUUUUUUAAAUCAACCAUAAACCCUAACAAAUCCAAAUUUAGAGGUUUUCAUUUCCUUACCUAAAAUAAUAAAAAUUCUUGUAAUUAAACUUCUUAUCACUCAUGACUAACUCACUUUAAUGAGUUUUAAUGGACAAUUCAUCAAAAAUCUUCUUUAUCCUCCAAUGGAACCAUUUCUUCCUCAGGCUUCUAAACUUUCAAUCUCUAUCUAAAGUUUACUAAUUUGGUUUUGAUUUUGAGGUGGAAAACCUUAAACUAAAAUCUCCAUGCCAUUUAAUUCAAGAAAGAAAGAAGAAGAAGAAAUAAAGAAAUUUUCAAGUUUCCCUUUUUUUUCUUCCAUAAAUGGUGUCUUUCAUGGCUUUUAAAGGGGAAGAAAGUAUUUUUCCUUAUUUACAACAAUGCCAUUCAUUAAAUAUCCCCUGCAUAAUUUUUAUCAAAGCUUAGUCCAUCAACAUUUUUUGCGUGUCACUUUUUUUUAUCAGAGAUAUAUUCUAAUUCACUUGAAAAAUUUCAUCACUAGUCAUAAUGAAUUUUCUUUAAAUUUUAUUAUUUUUUAGUUAAAAAUUACGCUAUUAAGCAUGAUUUUACUCUAACUAUUAAUACUUUCAUUCACAAAUUCAUAAUUUAAUUCAUUAAAGGAUUUUACACCAAUUUACCAAGAACUUUCACCACUAAUCAUAAAAAGUUUCUUUUAGUUUUAUUAUUUUUUAGUUGAGAAUCACCUCAUUUAGCUCUAGUUUAAAAUUUCGGGUUGGGGUUUACAUAACAUAUCUUCUAAUUCAAUGUACUAUUAUAAUUCUACUACAUUCAGAAUAUCGUUAUUUAACCUAUUAAGAAAUCUUGCCAUUAUUGUUUUUUUAUCCUCCAUUAUAUUAGUUCUAAUCAUAGUGACUUAUCUCUUUAUAGUAAUCCUCUUCAUUCUUAGACCAUUGAGUCAGGUUUUGGAACCUUUGAUAUAAAUCUUAGUAGUAAUGUCCCCAUACAAAUGUUUUCCUAAUGAUUCCUUUCAUCUCUUCGCAAGUAUCAAUGAGUAUUCACUCUUUCUCCUCAUACCUAAUACAAGUUGAUGUCAUCAAAUAAUAACAUAAUCAGUAAAUUCAAUGACAAUAAGUUUUUACCUUUUUUUUCUCCGAAUAGCUAUAGCAAUAAAAAAUCAGCUCAACUUUCUUCUUCCAAUCUAAAUAAGUAUCGGGAUCAUUUCUAGCCUAAAACACCGGAAUUCUCAUCUUAAUACUCCCAAAGUUUCUAUCUAAGUCAUCACGACACAUAAGACCUUGAAUUUCACCCCUAUAGUUGAACUAAUCACCUCGAUAAAAACCACCAACCCUUUAAUUUUCUAGGCUGUGAAAACUAAUCUUUUAGCGGUGAUGAUGCAUCUUUGGAAGACAUCAUCAUAAUCUGAAAAACACCUUCAUAAUAAGAAAAUAUAUCCUCAUAUACUCUUUCACAUGCUUACACUCAAGUAUAUAUUACUCCUCUUAUGUUUCACUUAAAUAUAGUUUAUCACGAUAAUAUGUUCACUUUUUCACUUUUUACCUCCCGUACUUACCUUUUCAGUUCUUUAAAUAACUAAUCUCUAACAAUAAAAAAUAACAACUUUAUAAUGUCAACUUCAUAUUGUUGGACUCAAAGAAGCAAGAAAUAACCAAAAACUAUAAAGAAAACAAAAUACAAAUAUGAAAAAGAUGACAAAACUAAUCAGAUACGAAUACGAACGAUAAUGCAAAAAUGAAUAUGAAAGCAAGAAACAUUGAUUUUAACCAAAACUAGCAAUGGUAAACUAAGAAGAUUUUUGUUGACUCAAACUGAUGUAAUAGUUAACGAUUUCACAAUUUCAAACUUACUCGAACCUAAGUGUGUCUAAAUAACCCCGAAAUUAAUAUUUGAAACUAAGAUACACAAUACCCUAAGAAUAUCAUAUUGUAGGUGUAUAUCUCUUAAUUUCUAAAUUCAAACUUCCAACGAUGCAAUUUGUUACGGAGUUUAUACAACUUGUAAAUUGCGAUCUCUUUGAUAUUUUUUUCUUUUUUAUAUAUAUACUCUGUUGAUUUGCAAUAGUCAAAAUUAAAAUCAAUUUUUUAUAUAUAUUAUUUUCCAUAAAUAAUCAAAUUUGAUGAAAUAAUAAAAAUGAAAGCAUAAACUGAAAUAAAAUAGAACCCGACUUUAAAGUCUUGCUGUGAUAUCAAUAUAUGUGAAUCUAGAGGGUAAGAAUCCUAGAACCCAUAGGAAAUAAAGGAAAAACCCAAGAAGUCUAAAAUUAGUUUUGGUUGAUAAAAGCUCAACACAAAGACAUUGAUUAUCUGAACCGAGGAACUAGAACUAUUGUAAUGAAACCCCUACUCAACAAUUAUAAAGAAUCAUAAAUGAAAAGUAUAAAGAAGAACACCACAAUCUUUGAUAAGUCCAAGAAAAGCUCUUGAAUAACCAAAAGUAUGAGCGAAUAUCACACAAUAAUAAUUCUAAAUAAACCAAUAUGAAAAGAAAAACCUAAUUAAAAGCUAAAUAACUCUAUUUAUACUAGGUAAGAAUUCCUUAAACAAGCUUGAAAAAUAUUAAAAGAGCACUAAUCCAAUUAGAAAAAAUAACCCUAAACCAAUUAGAAAAAUAAUAUAAUUCUCGCACAGUAGUUUAUAGACCUCUUCGUAAAGUCUUCUCGAUGUCUAAUCACUAUGAAAUUUUAAAUCUAUAUAAAAUAAAACCUUUGGAAUAUUUCGGUGUAAUUUUAGAUCAAUCUAACAAUCAAAUAAAAAAUUAUGCUUGUUAGUAUAAAAUUAUGCAUGAGAAAAAAUAAGCACAAAACUUACUUAAGCUUGUCUAACUCUUGCACGAAUCAUAUUAAUUAAAACCUGAUCAUUCGUUGUUGAUGUUUAAAAGCUUGACUUGAACCAAAUAUUCUGAAUAAGCCCAUUGAGUGUCUCUUUGAACUUCUUAUCUAUUGACCUCAUAAUAUAUCCAAUUGGCAUUUCUAGUAGAUCCCUUGUUUGUAUCAGUCAUGAAAAAUUUUCAUAUAAAAAUUAGACUUUCCGUGUCCUGGGUUGAAAUGAAUGUGCCUAACUGCGAGUCCAUGAAUUUACUUACAAUUAGUCCCUUAACUUACUUCAUGAAGAAAGAAAAGUAGCAGAUCAUUGGUUCUUUCACAAUUGGUUUAUGGAGCUGGUAAAACGGUACUUGUCAUUAUUAUCUGUUACUUUUGAACAGGAAAAAGUCUCAUUGUUAUCUAUUACUAUUGAAUAGGACAGAGUCAUCAGCUAGCCAUUCUGCCCGGAACCAGAAAAUAACAUUGAGAUGUGUGCGCUGUUUAUGGAGACGAUGGUGAUUUUGUUUUUCUAGAAAGUUGAGUCAUGAUUGGUUAUUGUGACAUGCACAGUAAAGGUGAUGAUGGGCAAUGCUUGCUUUGCAUAAAAAAAUAAAAUUGUGUGGAUGUAAAGUUUGUUUUAUGUAACUUCUAGUUCUAGGUUCAUACAAGCUGAAAUGCAUAAAUAUAGGUGCAAGACAAUCUCAUAAAUAUAGGUGCAAGACAAUAUUCUAUCGAUACGAGGCAAGAUGAACAUGAUUUCUAGCUGUCUGGGGAACAGCAGACACUAGUUUUUUUAUAAAAAAAAAUUCUCGACAUCAUCACUAGUAAAUGUUAUUUUUUUAUUAUUAUUAUUACUAUUGGUAUCCGGAUCAGCUUGUGUGUACCUUAAUUAAUUAUAUGAGCUUUAAAAUUAACGAUUAUGUAAGUUUCUAGUGCUAUGAGAUUUGUGAGACUUGAACUAGUUAAGUUAUAUUAUUGUUGUAGUUUAGAAAAUGUUAUUGUAAACAGUGCAAAACCUACCCCUUGAUUUGAGGAUUUUAUAUACUCACCUGACAGCACAGAUAUGUAUAGUGAUUAUUAGUGUGCCCCACAAUCAAAAAAACGUGUACAAUGUUUAAGAUUGGUGUCUAAAAUUGUUAAAAAUAUUUUUUUAACACGAUACAAAUAUAUAAUAUAAAUUUAGAUCAUAAAUUUAAAUUGUAAAAUCAAAAAAUCAUAAGUAAAAUAUUUCAAUUAAUUAUAUAUUAACAAUUUCAAUUAAGUAGUAAAUAAUAACCUAGUGUGGGGUUUAGUAAUUGUUUAGUUAUAUGAUAAAUCUUAUUUUUUAAAAUGUUUUUAAUUUUAAAAUGUAUUAAAAUAAUAUAUUUUUUAUUUUUUAAAUUUUAUUUUUAAUACAAGUACAUUAAAACAAUUUUAAAAAAUAAAUUAAAACUUAAAAAGUAAUUAAAAACCCACCCCCUCCCCCGGGUCACCACCAGUCAGUAUAGAUAAAAAGUUGAAGACCGGUGGUGACUUUGAUCUUUGUAGUUAGUGGCAGAACUUAGAUUUAAAAAAAAAGAAAUGGCAAUUUGGUAAAUAAAACACAACAUCAAAGUCAAUCAUGAAUAGUUGCCCAAGUCUUCAACUCGGUAAGCCUUAGCUGUUGAGAAACCUUAUAUGCUCAUUUACACACACAACACAGUACCAUCUUUAUAGAGAGAGAAUAGAAGCCCACAGAAACCAUUAAUUUAAGAAAACCCAGCGAGAAAGAGAGUUUAUUUGUGUAUAUUCCUUUUCAAGAAAUGGCAAAGUGGAGUUCUUGUUUCUUGAUUUCAGCUACAAUCUUGAUUUUGAUGGCGAUGGGCUUAACAUCCACCAUUCAAGGAAGUAGGGAUCAACCAUCUAGGGUGGAUUCCUACCACUACUACCACUAGAUCAUCAAUCUGCAACAAGGGAUCUAUAGCAGAGUACAUGGCUGAGGAUGGAGAAGAGUUUGACAUGAACACAAAGAUCAACAGGUGUAUGUGUAAUAAACUUAUUGGCAUUGCUUUACGAAAAUAAAGAAAUCGUUUACGUUGCGGAGUCUAGCUUUUGAGUUGAUUUCAACGAGACCAUAGUGAGGAUCUACUCUGAUUCCUUUGUCAGUCGUGUCAUACCAAUAGCAUUUGAAUAAAAACACUCUAUUAUGCUCGGUAUGAUAUUACAGUUCAACAACCUUUUCUAAUCUACCAUAGUAGUCAACUUCAAACUCAAUAGAAGUCGAUCCCUUAAUACAAAAACCGUUAUUGUAUGUCUUUCUUUCAUGCCUGUAUUCUUCAGUAUGAAAGGCAUAUCCAUUGAAAAAAUACCUGUAAUAACACUUGACUUUUCUUUCAGGGCCCAGGCUUAAUAAAGAUAGUGAAAUAGCAACACUACCUCCUAUUUGAUAAACCUUGUAUAUCAAAUACAACAAUAAUCAAUAAACGGAUAUUCUGUAAUAUUGACGUACAGUUACCUUGCAAGAGAUAAUGAGUUUGUGAUAGGAUUUAUAUGUGUUCUAAACCACGUGAAAAAUUGUUAAUCUUGUAAUUGAAAGAUUUGGGAUUCGAUUAGCUGUGAGUUAUUGGAUAGUAAAUAUCGUCGAUGUGCCUGCAAGGUUGUUCCAAAUUAUAUGAGUUUAUGAUAUCACAAUAUAUAAAUAGUACACUCUUGACAAAGUUUAAGUAGUACAUCUACUUACUUAAUAAAAGGUCUCAGCUCAUCAUAGUUAAAUAGGACAUAAUUGUGUGCUUGUCUGAACUCUAUUUCAGACAAAUAUCUUCCCUUUAUGGUAUUUUUAGGUGUGGGUCAUCCAGGAUUGGAGAAUAUUGACAAGUUCCCACUUGAAGUCACUUUACCACCAUCAUCAUGCCUUGUAACACGGUUGAUCCUCGUUCUCAAAUAAGAUUCGAAAUAGUAUGAGAUAAAUGUUGAGAUCUCCUCAACAAUAUAGGCCUCACAUAUUGACGCCUCAACAUGCGCUUUGUUCUUAACCUUUUUUUUUAAAGAUUGAACAAGUACCUGCAUAUGUAGAAUUAAACAAAAAUUAUCAAUUAAAAAAACAAUGAAAAAAUGUUUAAUUAUGAAUUACAUUGCAACUAUAAUAUCUAACCUCUUGAAUGGAUACAUCUAUCUAUACUGGACCAGUCCUUCAACUUUUACCUCAUACGGUAAAUAUACGGGUAGAUGCUCCAUUGAGUUAAAAAAUAAUGGAGGGAAUAUCAUCUCAAGUUUGCAUAUUGUCUCGACGAUAUUCGUUUCAAGCCUUUCAAUGUGAUCAACAUUCAACUUGCUGGAGCUUAUAUCUCUAAAGAAAUGACCGAUCUUCGUGAGUGCAUCCCAUAUCCCCUUUAACAACAAAUCAUGAAAAGCUAAUGGAAUGAGUGUUUGCAUAAACACGUGGCAGUCAUGACUCUUUAUUCCAUAUAAUCUGCAUUCCUCCAUAUUAACUAGCCUUGAUAUGUUCAAGGCAUGUCCAUCGGGAAAACGCAGACUCUUAAGCCAUUUGUAGACUAGUAGUUGUGUGUUUUUCUCUAACACGAAGCUUGCUCUUGAUUUUGCGACCCGUGACCCAUCACAAACCAACUCUAUAUUUUUACAGUUACAGAACAACGCUAAAUCCAAUCUAGCCUUGAUGUUGUCAUUUGUCUUUCCCUUCACAUCCAUGACGGUGUUGAAAAUGUUCUCAAACACGUUCUUUUCAAUGUGCAUGACGUCAAGGUUAUGGUGGAGAAGAUUGGUCUUCCAAUAAGGAAGCUCCCAAAAGAUACUUCGCUUUACCCAAUUAUAGGUCAAACGAAAACCAGGAAACUUCUGCUUACCUGAUUGGAGACCAAACACAAUGUCACCGUACUCUGAUACAAUAUCAUGCAAUUCUUCACCAGAAAAAUACGGGGGUGCAACAUCAUUUUCAACUCUGCCAAUAAAUAAAUCCUUUCUGUUCUUUCUGUACCUGUGAUUCUGUGGUAAGAAACGAUGGUGACAUUAAAAAAAAAAGCUUUACCCCCGUUUGUUAGCGUGAAUGCCUUGUUGUUUUGCAUGCAGUAUGAACAUGCUAGUUUUCCAUGCGUACUCCAACCAGAAACCAUUCCAUAAGCUAGGAAAUCAUUGAUAGUCCACAUCAAAGCCGCUCUCAUAAUAAAAUUUUGUUUCCUCAAGAUAUUAUAAGUCAAAGCUCUAGAGAACCACAACUGCGUCAACUCAUCAAUUAACGGUCGAAGACAAACAUCUAUAUUCCGGCCCAGACUGCUCGGACCUGGCAUGACCAUAGAUAAAAACAUGAACUCCAACCUCAUAUAUAUCCCUGGUGACAAGUUAUAAACUGUCAGUAUGACCAAUCAAGAAGAAUAAGGAGCAGCAAAUGACCUAAAUGGGUUAAAUCUGUCUGUACACAACCCAAGAUGCACGUUCCUUGAUUCAGCUAAAAAGUAAGGAUGCACACUAUUAAAGUGUUUCCAUGCUUCGCCGUUAGAAAGAAGCACCAUCACUCCAUAACUGCAUGAUGUGAUUGGUGUUAUGUCAUGUGCUUAAUAGUUCUUUGUGACAUGAAUAACCUCUGCAGUCUAGGUGUGAUUGGGAAGUAUCUAAGUUUUUUAUAUGCCAUGAGAGUCUUUCCCCUACUAGUUCUGGGUUUGUAACUGGAAUGCUCACAUGUCAUGCACUCGGUCAGCUCAACAUUUUCAAGGUAGUAUAACAUGCAGAAGUUAGGGAACAUGUCAAUUUUUUGGUAUCCUAAACCGAGGGGUUUCAUCAUGGACUUUGCAGCAUAGAAGUUCUCUUUCAGCCUGAUCCCUUCAGGUAAAACACUUCUCGCCCAUUCGAUAAUUUUGUCAUAACCGGCCUCACUCAACCCGUGAUCUGACUUAAUGGUGAACACCUGUGCUACGACCGAUAAUUUCUUUGGUUCGUGCAGCCAUCCCAUAAUGGUUCGUUAGAAUCUUUCAACAGAUCAAAAAACCUUGUUCCAUCUACAUUAGGUUCUUCUUCUACUAUUGGACAUUGACUAACAUUGACUGACAUUACCUUUAUUCAUUCUCAUUGCAUCCAUAACCAUAUUCCUGUAAGGAUUAGUGUUGUCAUAUACAACUUCAUGCACAUUACUAAUACUAGAAGUUGACCCAACCACCCUUUCUACCAUGCUCUCAUUAGGAAUAAAUAGUUCUCUGUGUGCAUACCAACAUAGAUAAUCCUCUAUGAACCCUUUGGUUAGAAGAUGCAUCGUUACAACAUCUUGAUGCAGAAAUUUUUAUUUUUACACUUCCUGCAUGGACACCUAAUACCGCCAUCAUUAAAAUUUCUCGGAAUAGAUGUUGUGAAAUUAAUAAAACCCUGAAUCCCAUUACAAUAAUCCAUCCUUCGCAAUCCUUGGGGUGAGUCUCGAUAUAUCCAUGAACGAUCAUCUAUGACUUCUAUCGAACAUCUAUAAAAUUAUGAUGACAACAUGUAUUAAUUAACUAUGUUACGUAAAUAAAUUGGUAAAAAUAUUGGUUUGCCCCGAUAUUAUGCAACAAACUUAAAAAACACUUAUGUUAAAUAUUCAUUAUCAAUUAUCAAUUAUCAAUUAUCAAUUAUCAAUUAUCAACAUCCAUACAAAUUUAUACAUAUAUAAAUUUACGGAAAUCACAACUCCGCAAUAGAAUUGAAAAAAAUUAAAAUGGACCUGUUAAACAACUUAUUAUUUAUUUUAUCACAACACAUCUAAUUCGGUGUAAUUCAAACAAAGUUUCAACAAUUUACAAACAAAUACAAUUUGACAAAAUCUAAAACAAACUAUAAUAACUACAAAACUAUACAUUCAUACUACAAGUUUCUUUGACAAAUAACAAUAAAAUAAGUACAUAUGUUAACAAAAUACAUAUACUAAAAAAACAAUAAAAAAUAAUCAAAUUGACAUUUAAAUGUUAAAACUAAAAAGGAUAGAUUUACUUACAAAAAAUGGUAAAAUCCAUAAUAAAUUAAUCGAAGAACGGAUGUUGUGACCACGUACGAAAGUAUAAGAAACUUGAGUACUGGUGUUGAGAAGAGGGGGAGAGUUGGGAUGGGUGGUUGGUUGCAGUUUGGGAGGGGAGAGUUGAGAUGGAAGAAGGAGAAAUAGAGAAGGAGAGAGUUGGCAAAGUGUGUAUAUAUUGGCUUUUACCGAUGGAAUCAUUGAUAAAUAAGUGUCGUCGGUAUUCCCUAUCGGUAAUUCCAACGGUGAAUGGACCACGUCACUGGACGGAGAUCCUGGUUUGGAUCUCUCGGUCAUUCCGUUGGUAAAAUCAUCUGAAAAAAUUCCACGUCAUCACAUCGUUGCUCCUUUUCAAAAUUCUAUAUAUUCCAAUGGCAAUACGGUUGAUAUAUACCGACAGAAUUAUUCCGUCGGUAUAUACCGACCGUAUUGCCGAUGGAAUAUAUGCCAUCGGUAAUUAUUACCGACAAUAAAGGUCUGUCGGUAUAUACCGAUAAAAUUAGAGAAGGAAUUAUAUUUGUUGGUAAAAAUUACCGACAAAAAAAUUUCAUCGGUAAUUCUGUUGGUUUUUAUCGAUUUUUUAGUAGUGAUGUGGUUGUAGCAAUUGAAGAAUCAAAGAAUUUGGAAGAUUUGACAAUAAAAGAAUUAAUGGGAUCUCUACAAGCUCAUAAGCAGAAAAUUGAUAGAAGAGGAGAAGGAAGAUCUCUUGAACAAGCAUUGUAGAUAAAGUUAACUAUGAAGAAUGUUAGUGAAUCUGGCAGAGGAGCAUUUCAAAGAGGAAGGUUCAUUCACAUAAAAGGAAGAGGAGCAAGAUCAUUCAGAAAUCAAGAAUCUUAUGAAGCACGAAUUAAUUUCAGAGGCCAUAGCAGAAGCAGAGGAAGAAGUCAUGGAGGAUAUUCAAAUUGGAGGAAUAAUAAUGCAAACGUACAAUGUUAUAAUUGUAAAGAGUAUGGUCAUUUUGCUUCAGAUUGUUCAUAAUACAAAUUUGAAGACAAAAAUGUCAACUUUGCUGAGAAAGAAACUGAUUCUGAAGAACCUGCAUUAUUGUUGGCCUGUGGAAAAUUUGAUGGUAGCAACUCCAACACCUGGUAUCUAGAUAUAGGAGCAUCAAAUCAUAUGUGUGGUAUGAAGGAAGCAUUUGUUGAUAUCGAUGAAAGUGACACGACCAAAAGAUUGAUGUCUUCUCCCAAGUGCAGGAGUGUCGAAGUAAUAAAUAACUCGGCAAGACCGGGGUCGAACCACAAGGAGGUUAAUUGUAUAAAUUAUAGUUAACAGCAACACAAUAACAACAAUAAUAAUAGUAAUAAUAAUAAUAAUAAGAAUAAUAAAGAAGAAGAAGUUGAGGAGAACUUUGAGAUGGAAGAUUAACGUAAGGAUUAAACAAUGAUAACAACAAAUGUCAAGGCUAGAGGAUCCACUAAUGGUAUUUCAAACAAGUAUAGUAUAAACUCUUUUUAUUAAAUUGGAAACCACACACAAAGGAGGUUCCAAUCAGAUUAUAAAUUGUUAACAUGAUUACAUUAGUUAUCUUAUUCGAAUAAUGCUAAUACUUGUAAAUGUUGUCAGGCAUUCAUGAUUAUAACUUAUGUUAACAACAAAUCAAGUUCCUUUCAUAGCUCAGGUGUCGGUUAUACCAUACAGUAUGGGCUAUGAAAGUGCCAAGUAUUUGUUGUACCAAGUGUUAUACAACAUAAAUCUAGAUUAACCAUUUAACAAGCAAAGUAUUAAAAGUGAACAAGAUAACAAAUAUAAAGCAUGUUAGUAUCCAACAUUAAGGUCCAUGUUAAGUUUAUAUUAUACUUAUUCUUACACCAUUAGUGUACCCUUUUCACCUUGACAUAAUUAACUUAGCAACACAUAAUGAAAGAAAGAAACAUAAAUAAACAAGGAAAGGAAAUGAAAAGCAUAAGCAAGAAAUUAAUAUAAGUAAAACUUAAGCAUUACAAAAUAUAAAGAGAGAGCAAGAGCAUGAUCUUGAUAUGAACACCAAGAUGCCUAAAUACAUGGCAAAUGCCUCCUUUUAUAGGCCAAAAUUCGGAACUAUUGAUUUGUUGACUAAUUGAUGAGUGAGUGGCCACAUCUUGACUUGGUGACAAUUCUUAUCUUCUUGUCUGCCAAAAAGUCAUUGAUAACGUCAUCAUUUGAACAGACGUCAAUCAUGAAAGUUCUAGAGAAUUGUCUCAUCUUUCUAGGGUACAAAUUUGAGAUCAUUUGGAUUUCUAGAACUCGAGAUAUGGGCUGAACACUGAACAGUGUCUGGGCUGCAGGACAGAUUCGGACUUCUUCGUUGUUGCUACAAUUUGGACUUGAAAACAGCCUUAUUAAAUCUUGGACUCCCAUGAAAGUUGUAGGCCUAUGUCUUAGCUUUCCAUCCAUAUAAGAUGGACCUAAAUCCAAGAUCUGCAGCUCCAGAUAUCACCCGAUUACCGAACAGUGUUCAAGUUUGGACUACACCAAUCAUCUCUUUUCUAAGUUUGCCCAUCUCUUUGUCCUUUCAAUUGCAGUACUUCAACUCAUCAAUCAAUUCUUUCAUUUAUGUGAUAGGCCUGCAUUUAAGAUGAACAUUUACCAUAAAUUAAAGGUAUCUUAUAUUAUUAGAUAUGUUAGUAUAAAACAUGCUUUAGUUAAGGAGUUAUUGAUACUUCAAGUGCAAAAUGAUGAUAUAGAACCUUGAUAAAAAUGCACUUUUAAGUACUAAUCAGAAAGUUAUAAAGGUAACAUUACCUUUGGAGAUCUUUCUCAAAAACCUGUUGAAGGAAGAGGCAGAAUUCUUAUUAAACUUAAGAAUGGUGAGCAAAAGUUCAUAUCAGAAGUUUUUAAUAUUCCAGACAUGAAGAACAACAUUCUAAGCUUGGGAUAGUUUCUAGAGAAAGGCUUUAAAGUGCAAAUGAAAGAUAAGAAUCUAAAGAUUUUUGAUGAGUUUGGAGCUGCAAUUGCUUUAGUUAAAAUGACUGGAAACAUGAUGUUUCCUCUGGAUCUAAGUAUAUAUCUGUCAAAGUGUUUUAAGGCAGAAAUCUCUAACAUGAUGAAUUUAUGGCAUCUGUGAUAUGGACAUAUGAACUGUGGAUCAUUAAUGCUAAUGGAGAAAAACAAAAUGGUUAUUGGAAUACCAAAGUUAGAGCACACAAGCAGCAUAUGUGAAGUGUGUGUAAUGGUAAAGCAGCAUGGAAAGCCAUUCCUAAAGAAGAGUUCAAAAGCAUCUCAGCCUCUCGACUUGGUGUAUUCAAAUAUGUGUGGCCCUAUUUCGCCUACUUCAAUAGGAGGAAGCAUGUAUUUUCUCACUUUUACUGAUGAUUUUAGUGGAAAGAUAUGGGUAUAUGUGUUAAAAGAAAAGAAAGAACUGUUAAGCAAAUUUAAGGAGUUUAAAAAUUUAGUAGAAAAACAAAGUGAGUGUAAGCUAAAAUGCCUAAGAACAGAUAAGGGAGGAGAGUAUAUUUCUCAUGAUUUUGAUGAUUAUUGUAAAGAAAAUGGUAUUGUUCAUCAGCUUACAAUGCCAUAGAUUCCAUAACAGAAUGCAGUAUCAUAGAGAAAAAAUAGAAGUAUUAUGAACAUGGUUAGAUGUAUGCUAAAAGAAAAACUGUCCAAAAAAGUUUUGGGGAGAUACAAUUGUAUGUGUUGUGUAUUUGUUGAACAAAUUUACAACAAAAAGACUUCAGAAGAUCACACCAGAAGAAGCAUGGAGCACAAAGAAACCAAGAGUUGAUCAUUUGAGAAUUUUUGGCAGUGUUGCUUGUGCUAAAAUUCAAGAGGAAAAAAGAACUAAACUUGAAGAUAAAAGUCUGAAAUGCAUACUGCUGGGAUAUGGAGAGAAUUCAUAUGGUUAUAAAUUGUACAAUCCGAUGAAAAAGAAGGUGAUCAUGUCAAAAGAUGUGAAGUUUGAUAAAGAGCUAAAAUGGAACUAGAAUUCUGAAGAUCAGCCACAGAAACUAAUUAUAGAUGAAAAGCAGAUUCAGAAAGAUGAAAAAUAAAUCAUGUUAGCUCCAUCUCCAUCAACUAAUAGUCAUGCUGGUCCUUUAAGCUCAACAACAAGAAAGACAAAGAGCAUACAAGAGAUUUAUGAUGUAACAGAAAGAAUCAAUCUUAAUGAUGUUAAUAUGCUUUACUUAUUUUCAGGAAAUGAUCCUAUUACAUUUGAAGAAGCAUAUCAAGAAGACAAAUGGAAGAAAGCAAUGAAAGAGGAGAUCAAUUCCAUCAUAAAAAAUAAUAAAUGGGAAUUGACAACACUUCCCGAAGGACAUAAUACAAUAGGAGUAAUAUAGAUCUUCAAGACAAAGAGGAAUGCAUAAGGAGAAAUUGAAAAACUUAAAGUUAGAUUAGUAGCAAAGGGGUACAAGCAACAAUAUAGAGUUGAUUAUGAAGAUGUUUUUGCUCUAGUAGCAAUAAUGAAACAGUAAGAUUGAUGAUUUCCCUAGCAGCUCAGAAAAGAUGGAAGAUAUUUCAGAUGGAUGUAAAUUCAGCAUUCUUGAAUGGCACCUUAAAGAGGAAGUGUAUUUAGAACAAUCAGCUGGCUUUAUGGUUAAAGGAGAAGAAGAGAAGGUUUGCAGAUUGAAAAAAGCUUUUUAUGGGCUUAAACAAGCACCAAGAGCAUGGAACUCUAGAAUUGAUGGAUAUCUUUCACAAAAAGGAUUCACAAGAUGCCCUUAUGAACAUGCAUUAUAUGUGAAGAAAAGUUUACAAGGCAGAGUAAUGUUUGUUUGUUUAUAUGUUGAUGAUAUACUUUUCAUAGGGGAUGAUCCAACUAUGAUUCAAGACUUCAAACAAUCCAUGGUGACGGAAUUUGAAAUGACAGACUUAGGUCUCAUGGCAUAUUUUCUAGGAUUAGAGGUGAAGCAGUGCAGUGAUGGAAUCUUCAUUUCACAAGCCAAAUAUCCAACAAAAGUUUUGAAGAAAUUUACUAUGGAAGAUUGUUGUCCAGCAAACAAUCCUGUCGAAUAUGGAACCAAGUUAACUAAAGAAGGAGAAGGAGAUUUAGUUAAUCCUACAAACUACAAAAGUGUUAUGGGUUACUUGCGUUAUCUAACAUAUACCAGAUCAGACAUUCUGUUUGGGGUUGGCUUAAUUAACAGAUAUAUGGAGAAGCCAAGAAGUUCACAUUUGAGGAUAGCAAAAAGGAUCCUUUGUUUUGUUAAAGGAACUGCAAGCUAUGGAUUGUUUUAUUCGUCUUUGCAGAAUCUUGAAAUUACAGGUUACAGUGAUAGUGACUGAGCAGGAAACUUGGAAGACAGAAAAGGCACAACUGGAUUUAUAUUCUUUAUGGGAGAAACAACUUUCACAUGGACAUCAAAGAAACAAUCUAUUGUUGUAUUAUCCACAUGUGAAACAGAAUACAUUGCUACUGCAUCGUGUGUGUGUCAUGCAAUAUGGCUAAGGAAACUGAUGGAAGAUUUGUAGCAGAACCAAAGCAAGGCUACACGAAUCUUUGUUGAUAAUAAGUUUGCUAUAGCACUUGCAAAGAAUCUAGUUCAUCAUGAACGUUUAAAACAUAUUGAUACUUGAUUUCACUUCAUUAGAGAGCACAUAAAAGAAGACGAUAUGGAGUUAGUUCAUGUCAAAACUCAUGAACAAAUUGCGGAUAUUUUUACAAAGCCAUUGAAGACUAAUGUUUUAUGUUAUUUUCAGAAGAAGCUUGGAAUCAUGAAGAUGGAUGGAGCAAGUUUAAAAGGGGAGAAUGUUAGUUAUUAAACUUGUUUACCAAGAUUAAGUGUAUUAAAUUUAGUACAAUGAAUAAUCAUCCACAUCAUAAAUACUAUGAAUCUAGAAAUACCAUGAAUAUAGAGUAAGUAUUGAAGAGUCUAAUAUUAAUUAAGAACUUAAAAGAUUAUAAAAGACAUUUUAUAAUGUCUAUAUAUAUAUUGUAUGGAUUUGAUAAUGAAAGGUGUGAGAGUACCAUUAUUUAGUGUAUUAUAUUCCACCAAAUUGUGUGAGUAGUAACCCAUCCUCCGUUCUUUCAUUGUUUUUUUCCAACACAUACUUCAUACAAAGCCUGUUGUAUGCGAAAAGUAACAAGUCAAUGAUCAGGCAAAUAGAGUUUUACUGAAAAACACGGAAGCAUCGUGGUAUGAUCAUUUACACCAUGCAUGUUUAUCCACAAAUCUAAUGUGUACAGGAAUGGUUUGUAGCUUUCGUACUCGACUACCCUGAGUAGCUGAAGAUGGUAGAGAUUCCACCUGAACAAAUCUACCUCCCAUGGUACCUUUGCCUCAGGAUUUCUUUUUGCACGGUCAACAAGUUAUGGUUCACGGUUCACCUCCUAUCAGAUACUAAAGUAAGAGUAUCAAACUGCAGAAAGCUCCGGCUUAAAAGCAUUACCCUUUAUUUUGUGUUUGAAAGUUGCGUCUUAAUACCCGAUCUCUCGCAAAAAAGUCUUUACUUCCCCAGUUAUUUUUCAUCAUUGCUCUACUUCACAAGAAUGAUCCUCUUCACCAAUAAGAAGCUUUGGCUUCAAUUAAAUUACGACUCAAAAGAGCUUAUAACCUCAUUGUGUUUAAAUUGAGAGAAAUUAGUUUGAUGUUUUCAUGGGUGUGUUAUUAUUAUUAUUAUUAUUAUCAUGGUUUUCCCAUUUUCAUUUCACCGUCCAAACACACUCUGCCCAAACACAUUAUCAGACAGUAUGCACAUCCUCAUAGGUGAAAUCCUGAAGUAUACAUUAUUAAAGGCUAAAUUUAGGCUUUAAUAUUGUAUACUUGAUUUUCUCCUAAAUUUGAAUUUUGAUCUGCUCUUAUUUAGGCUUUUAUCUCUUCCUCUCCCUUAAGUAUCAAUAUUAAAGGCUAUAUUGAAACAUUCUAUGCACUUCUUCAUCCAAAAUCAAGUCUCUAAAGUAGUUAUAUUUCAAUUUAAAUUUUCUAGUAUAAUUGCUUACAUCUAUUUGCAUAGCGUUGUUAUUUAAAAUCAAUGUUCAAAUCUCAUCAUCAAAUUUAAUUACAAUAUAUGAUAAAUGAAUUGUGAUGGUAUUGAAUUUAUUCAAGUGUAGUGUAAGAGAGAUACCUUAUUCCAUCUUUAGGUUGAAUAAAAUUUUCAUUAUUCAUACUUUGUAAUUUAUUGAUGGCUUGAGAAGGUUUCCAUUAGCUUUAUAGUGAUCAUUUCCUUCGUAAUAUUAUGAGCAACUUUCCUAAAACUUGCAUAUCAAGAAGGUUCCAUUUAUUCUCCUUCAUCUUGUCUAGCUUCUUUCGUAAUAAAAGAAGAUAAAGUGUAAACCCUUGAAUAAAAUAAUUUCAUCUUGAUUUAUUAAAGUAAAAUAAAAUACAAAGGAUGUAGAGAAAUGAUUAAAUUGAACAAAUUAAAUGGAUUAAAAGAGAAGUUAUUUAAUGAGAAGGGUGAAAUUGAAAACAAUAAUAAAGGAGUAAGGAGUUAGUAAAGAGAAAAAGAAGUAGUAGGGUAAAUGGAUUAAUAAAAGGAAUGGUGAGGUCAAUGUGAAAAUAGAAGUAAAUAUGAGGGGCAAGAUGCAAAUAAGGAAAGAAUAUAAUUAUACAUAACAAGAAAUCUCUAGAAAUUCCUAGAGUAAUGGCCGGCCAAGGAGAGAAAGAAAAGAGGAGAAAAGAAAAAAUUAAAAGGAAACCUUGUAGAUUCAACCUUUGAAUCCAAAGAAAAGUGAGAGUAAGUGAACUAAGAGUGCUUCAAGUAAGAAUUAGAAAGAAAACUUUGAGAAAAACCUAGAGAAUUUACUAGUGGGAAGGGAAGGGUUAGAAGAAGGAAGGAAAGAAAGAAGGGGAAGAAGAAAAAGGGUUGUUCUCAAUCUUUUGACUCAUUUUUUUGUAAUAGAAGGUAAUAAACUCUCUUAUUAAGUUACUUGAAUUUGUUUGUGUUUUCCUUGAAUAAUUGAGAUUUUAGAAUACCCUAAUCUAGGUUUAAGAAGGUUGUUCUCAAUCUCUUGACUCAUGGGAAAUGAAUUUAUACUUGUUGAACUUAAAAAUCAAAACUGGACAAGUGAUCUCUUAAUUUCUCUACUAAGAUUUGAACCCUAAGAUGACAGAAUUUGAGAUAUUUUUCUUCAUGAAAGUUGUAGACAUGGAUGUUACCUUUCAAAUGAAAUUGACCUUACUUAAAUUGGAGUGACAAAACACUAAAUAUGAAAGAAAAACUAAAGACAGGUCAAAACCCGGGAAUCAGCAGGACAAAUGUUUAGGUUUCUGAAAUUUGUGAAUUUAGGCAUGUAGAUGGAAACAACUGGGUAUAUUCAUCUUCAUGAAAGUUGUAGACAUGGAUGUUACCUUUCAAAUGAAAUUGACCUUGCUUAAAUUGGAUUGACAAAACACUAAAUAUGGAAGAAAAACUGAAGAUAGAUAAAAAAAACCAGGAAUCAGCAGGAUAUAUUUUUGGGUUUUUGAAAUUUGUGAAUUUAGGCAUGUAGAUGGACAAAAUGGGUAUAUUCAUCUCAUGAAAGUUAUAGACCUAUGUUUUAGUGUUCUAAAGAAACAAAUCACGCAUAAAAUCGAGUUUUAUAGCUCCAGUUAAACUCAAAAUACUAAACAGUGUUUGGAAUCCGUUAUGUUGAGCUACCUAAAACUUGUAAAUUGGUAACUUCUGUUUGGAAUUGUUUUUUAUUACAAAAUAUUGAAUUAUAUAGGUAGUCCGUAAAUGUGUGUAUGUGUGGCCAAGACCUGAAAUAUAAAUUAGUGUAACUAUUGGUACAAGUGAGAUUGUGAGAAAUAGACGAGAGUAGGGGACGACUAACAGAGCACAUAUUUCAGGUAGAUGUCUGACAUUUAGAUCUCUAAUUUAAAGUCUUGUUUAAUUCUUUAGCUUAGUCCCUAAUAAGAGUUAGUUCAAUUUUUUGUAUUUAUAUGUAGUGUUUAAAUGAUGGUUUAACCAGUUUCUGGUUUGGGAUUGGCGCCUAGUGAAUGGGUUGAUGAUUGGAUAGUAUCCUGGUUUGGAACUGGUGCCCUAUUAUUGGGCUAAUGGUUGGACUAGUGUCCUGGUUCGGAAUUGCUGCCCUGUGAAUGGGCUGUUAGUUGAACCCGUAUUCUGGAAUGGAACUGGUGUUCUGGGAAUGGACGAUCAAUAGAAUUAUUUAUUAUUGGACAAGAUUGAUGUGCUGACAAGUGAGAAAUUAUAGAAAUUGCUGAUAAAUGAAUUCAAAAACAAAUUGUCAGUGUAAUGAAAAAUAUAUUAGAUCAUCUGAAUUAAUUUAAUUAUGUUUAUGCAAAUUACUAUGUUGGUUCAUCUCAGCAGCGUAACCCUUAGUUGAUGCAUGGGUGUUCCCUCUGUAUAGUCACUUAAGUUAAUAGGAAGAUGGAAGAAUUUUAUUUUGGGUUGUAUAUAACAAUACUUCUAAUUUGUAUGUAUAAAGUUAUGUAAUACUAUUUUGUUAAAACUUUAAGUAGUAAUUUGAAAUUUAAAAUCUUUAUUAUGCUAAUGUAUGAAUGCAAUUACAAUGGUUAAUUAAUGGUUAUCUUUUAUUUUUAAAAAAAAAAACUUCCUGAGAUUCUUCUCAUUUUUAUAACUUGAUAAAUAUGUGAAUUUUUUUUUCUUAAAAGUUUGGGGUGUUACAGUUUGAGACUUGGAAUGAUUGGAAUGUGCAUAAACAAUGAAUACAGGAUGUGUACAAAUGAUUUGUCGAUAACUUGGGACCUCUCGGUAUAGGGGAGACUCUGCCGAAAUUUUAGUAGAAAUUUUAAAAAUCUUUGUAUAAGUUCAACAAAGAAAAUAAAGUAAAAAAAAAUUACCAUGUUUCUUUUUCUUCUUUUUUUGAUGCGUUGGUUUUGAAAAUGGGGAUGUUACAUAAAGUUUCUUCUUAUAGAGGUAGCCUUCUAUCUCUAUGUUAUAAUACGUAAAACCUAUGCCAUUAAAUUUGUCUAUUCAAGUAGCCUUUACUUCUUGUCUAACCAUUUAUUCUUUUUGAAGAGUAAUUGAGAAUCAAAUAGUAAUUAAAAAGUCUUAAUCUAAUUUUAAGUCCAAUCUAGAUAAUUAGACUCUGUAGUUAUGAACAAAAUGAUCAAUUUAACUAGAAAUGAGUCUAGAGUCAUCAAAAUCAGACUUCAAAUGGCUUAGAUUUGAAAGAAAAAUCUACCCUAACAGAUGCCUUAUAUUAAGCAAUAACACCGAUUGUACAUAAGCAAAACAUACUAGAUUGCUCUCCUGUGAUAACAUGGAAGAUGAUUAGACCUAAAAAGCUAAUGUGUCUAAUGACAUGCCUAACAGCAUGGUAGUUGACACUUUUAAUAGAGUGUUAUGAUAAAUACGCCUUUUGAAUGAUGUGGAGGAUACUAUAUUGAUGACUUGGACAGUUUCAAAUCCAAAACAUGAUUGUUUGGUUAUAAACCAGGUUAGUGAAUGAUGAUGAUGAUGAUGACGACGACUAGUAUGUGGAGAAGGCAUGUGAGAUUGUGUGGGCAACAAUCCUUCAAUAAGUGUAGCAUGUGUAGCAUACUCCUAUUUCUAUUUUGCACAUGUUUCCAUCGUUGUGUUCAUCAAAGUCAUCUUCACAAUGAUAUAUUCAAAAUAUAUUUUUGAACACUUUGAUUUAUAAGCAAAAAUAAAAAAAACAAAUUAUUAGAAUUUGAUAUCAGUUGUUAUACAUGAGAUUGAUGCCUAAAAUCAAUAACACAACUUUUAACAUGGUUUGACAAUUGUCUAUAACUAGAAAGCUAUUAAUUUUACUAGAUAGAUAAUACACACACAGAGUAAUGGAGGAUGAGGAGGUGCUCAACUCCCAACUCUUUACAAUUGACUCACUUUUUUCUCACUCACUCUUUAUUUAUAAUUAAAAUAUGGGAACACACAUCUCAUUUGUAGCCAUGAUUUUCCUUAUAAUUUUACAAAUAAACCAACAAAAAUCUUUCCUCCUAAUUUGCAGCCAUGAAAACAUAUAGCCUAAUUUAUAGCACUUAAAUCUUCCUUUCCCUUUUAGCUUAAUUUGUAGUUGGAUAUGUGCUUUUAUUGUCUCCAUACACAAUAAUAUAUCUGCCAUAAAUUAUUCUAUAAUUAUAUUUCUUGAUGAGAAGCCUUUCAGUAUGCCAUGAUUCCUAUCAAAGAACGGUAGCUUUGUCAUUACCAAUAUCAUAAUGAAUCCUCUCUUAAAUGGUAGGCAGCAUUGGCCAAAUUUUUAUCAAUUUUCUCUAAGCUCAAUAGUAAUCUUGUGAAAUCUUUACUUCUCUUAAACUUUCUCCUUUUAGCAUAUAAAUUGAAUCCAUGCAACCCAUAAGGAUCUUAAUUGAAGAAAAAAAACUCCAUAUAAAUAUCAUAAUGUAAGCUAUAUUCCAUUCCUCUAUCAUCCUCAAACCCAAACCUCCCUCCUGUUUUAGGAAAGUAACCUUCCCCAUGUUACUUUUGCUCCCACAGUAGUCACUUAUUCCAUUUCAUAAGAAGGAAUUGCAAUUUUGCUCAACGAUUCUGAUGACUUUUCCUCAUGCAGCAUAAUAAAAAAGUGAGCAAAAUUGAUCAAGUAUUAAGUUAAUCAUUUUAAGAUACUUUAAGUUUGUUAAAAGUGCGUUAUAGUAUAAUAGUUGAAUUGCAUUUUAUAUACAUCUUUGGUCUUUUUCAAUUUACAUUGGACAACACUCAUUUCCCACAUAAUUAUCAAACUUGAUAGAAUAUGAAACAAGUAUGAUAUUUUAAAGCAUGUGCUAGCUAACAAAAGAGACAAUGAUGAGAUAAGACUUUUGAUAAUUUGAAAGUGUAGAACUUAGAGUUAUCUCUCUUAGCGAUUCUAUAGGACUUUCACAACAAUCAAAUAUAACUCCAAUCAUUAAAUGACUUUAAAUCUUUGAUCUCAAUAUUUUAUAGUUGUAAAUUAUCAUUUUUUUAUACCUAAACUAUUUGCAAUUUAUAAAAAUAUAUAGAAUUGCUAGAACACAUGAGAAAACAAUUAUUAGAUGGGUAGAUUAAAUUGUUUCUAGUUUUUAAUCAACUUUAAGCCAUGAGUUAGAUGUUAAGGGUUUUUAGCAUAACUGAAUUGUUAUAGUGGUUGGCUCGUGAGUGCCUGAUUAAGAAUGCGCUUGGGAACGCGGUGCAAACCGUGUUCCUAAAAAAAUUUUAAUUUUUUUUUUUUUGCUAAAAUUUAAUAUGGUUUGUAUGUUUUCGAUCGUUUUGAUGUGCUGAUGUCAAAAAUAAUUUUUAAAAAAUGAAAAAACAUCAUUGGCAUACAUUUCGGCACAAAAAAUUAUUUAAAAAGCAACUGCUACCAUACUGCCAAACACUCUCUAAAUUAGCAGACUCGGUCUUAACAAUCUUGGUUAAAAGGUGUGGAGUUGAUUAAUUUUGUUAAUACAUGUAACAACCCGACUUUUCAAGCCCAAAACAACAGUAAAUUUUUUUUUGUACUUCACACACAUCGUGUCGGUAAUCAGCGAACAUGUUCCCUUCACAUCAUCAAUAUACAAUCCAUACAUCAAUAACAAUCAACAUUUCAGUUAAAAGUGAAUCUUACAUAAACUCAUAAUAUUAUGUUUGCAUGAUUAGAAGUUCGCAUUUAAAAUAUACAUGCAUAGACAUGAGUUUGUAUUAUAUCCUACAAAUAGUCAUCAUGAAUUUAAUCUAAAAGGAUCUAAUAAUAGUUAUACAUUCAGUACAUUGAUUCAUAUAAAAUACAUUAUGAUUUAGAAUGCAACUACAUGAUUCCUUGCAAAAGUAGGUUCCCGUCUAUUAGGUUUCCUAGGCACCUUGUUGAUAUGACGUCCCUACUGCAGUACAAAAUAUUUACAAGAAUGCAAUUACUUAAUAAUAAUAAUAAUAAGAAAACGGUCUGACAGUUUAAUGAAGCAUUAACAUUAUUUCAUGUUUGAAGCGUGACAUUUGUAGUUCCUUCAUGUUCUUGGUAUACACAACUUACAGCACAUAUAUAUGCACCAAUUCUUACAAUCAACCAUAAUCUUAAAUCCGGCCAUUCAUUUAAGACAUCAUUUGUCAAGGUUAACUGUUCACUCACCCCGGCCAUCCCCUUCGAAUGCCAUCAGCCAAAGCUAAUCAACUAUUUGUCCCGGUCAUCCAUUCGGAUGCCAUUAGCCAAAGCUAAUCAAUUGUUUGUCCCAGUCAUCCCUUCGGAUGCAAUUAGCCAAAGCUAAUAAUUCGUUAGCUAAUCAUUCGUUUGUCCCGGCCAUCCCUUUGGAUGCAAUUAGCCAAAGCUAAUCAUUCGUUAGCUAAUCAUUCGUUUGUCCUGGUCAUCCCAUCGGAUGCCAUUAGCCAAAGCUAAUCAUUCAUUUGACCCGGCCAUCCCUUCGGAUGCAAUUAGCCAAAGCUAAUCAUUCGUUUGUCCCAGUCAUUCUUUCGAAUGCAAUUAGCCAAAGCUACUCAUUCGUUUGUCCUGGUCAUCCCUUCGGAUGCCAUUAGCCAAAGUUAAUCAAUCAUUUGUCCCGGCCAUCCCUUCGGAUGCUAUUAGCCGAAACUAAUCAUUCGUUUGUCCCGACCAUCCCUUCGGAUGCCAUUAGCCAAAGCUAAUCAUUCGUUUGUCACGGUCAUCCCUUCGGAUGUCAUUAGCCGAAACUAAUCAAUUGUUUACAUAUAAGCAUUUGACAGUCUGGUAUCUGAAUUAACAUAAUACAGUAAUAUUCAUGAUAAAGUAUUUUCAUUAUUCAACAUUAUUUAAAAUGAAGGUGAAAGUCACCUAACUGCAGUAGAGGCUCUACUCGUGCUCCCCUGUUGCUGCUGUUGCACCACACCGGUGGUCCUUCCUACAGUCACAGACUCAUCUCAUAAAUUUUUCUCAUUCAAGGAUAUGUUUUAUAAUAAUCAUAUCAAUAGCUAAUAAAUCUUUCUUUCAAUCAUUUCUUUCUUUAUAUCUUACGUUUUUCUCAUUACACCCAUUAAUGUUGUCAUUCUUUAUCCAACCAUAGUUAUCAUUCCUUCAGGCCGAUAUUACAGAGAAUCCAUAUUCAUUCAUUACUCAUAUGUUACUUUCUAUGCAUGUUAAUUUCCUCAUAAUAACAUACAUACAUAUAUCAUGUAUAUUUUCACAGUUAGUAUCUCAAUGUGCAAGUGUUCGUAUGACUCAAUUCUUUUAUAUAGUAUUCACGUGAAAGUCUACUGUUACUGUCUAACUUUGAACUGUUAUUGUCCAAUUUCCAAUUGUUACUAUCCAACUGUUACUGUCUAGAUAUUGAACUGUUAUUGUCUACCCAUUCAACUGUUACUGUCUAGACAUUUGAACUGUUACUGUCUACACAUUGAACUGUUACUGUCCAACUAUUACUGUCUAACAUUGAACUGUUACUGUCUAGACAUUUAAACUGUUACACAUUGAACUGUUACUGUCUAACUUUGAACUGUUACUGUCUAGACAUUUGAACUGUUACUGUCUCCACCUUGAACUGUUACUGUCCAACUGUUACUGUCUAACUUUGAACUCUUACUGUCUACACAUUGAACUGUUACUGUCCAACUAUUACUGUGAACUGUUACUGUCUAGACAUUUGAACUGUUACUGUCUCCACCUUGAACUGUUACUGUCUAACUUUGAACUCUUACUAUCUAGACAUUUGAACUGUUAUUGUCUACACAUUAAACUGUUACUGUCUAACUUUGAAUUGUUACUGUCUAGACAUUUGAACUGUUACUGUCUACACAUUAAACUAUUAAUGUCCAACUGUUACUGUCUAACUUUGAACUCUUACUGUUUAGACAUUUGAACAGUUACUGUCUACACAUUGAACUGUUACUGUCCAACUGUUAUUGUCUAACUUUGAACUGUUACUGUCUAGACAUUUGAACUGUUACUGUCUCCACAUUGAACUGUUACUGUCUAACUUUGAACUGUUACUGUCUAGACAUUUGAACUGUUAUUGUCCAACUGUUUUUGUCUAACUUUGAACUGUUACUGUCCAGACAUUUGAUCUGUUACUGUCCAACUGUUAUUAUCUGAACACUCAUCAUAUUUUUAACUAUAUCUAGAGUUAUAGAACUCUGUUUCAAGCAAGAUUAGUCUCGUUGGAAAGCUAAUACACGAGGCUACAAGUUCUUUGAAGUAAGGAGAACCUAGUUCUGCCUCCGAGAUAGUCAAAAUUGCUCAUCAUCAACAAACACUACCCUACAGGGUCUGUCAGGACCCAAUCUCAGUUGAUGACCCAUAGCUGGGGUUCUACACCUCCAUAUUGAGCAAGACUAAUUUUUCUUAGUUAGCUAACAUCCAAAACUACAAUUACUAUGAGAAACUUGAUCCUAAUUCUCUCAUCCUCCUACUCGAAUUCUCUUCAAAAGUCACGAGACGAAUCUGUCCAGAUUCAUCAACCUUUCCAUUUACACACAACAUCCAUAAUUUAACUUUUUCUCUUUUAUCUCAACCCCUGGCCAUAUCACAUAUCGUUUAAGAGUGUCAAAAAAAAAUCUUUAUAAGAGCCAAUUUACCUUAUUUAUUUCAAUCAUGCCUCUUAAUGUCAAAAUAAAACAUUCUUAUCGAUUUUACAAACUUUCCGAACAAUAUUCUUCUAAACACAAUUCUUGACAACAGUUUCAAUCAACCAUAAAUAACAAACGAAUAAUAUUCCAAACAAUCCAUAUUGUAAAGUUAUAAUGCAUUAUUAUGAGUAUAACAUAUCCAAAUAUUAACUUCAUCAAAUGGUGAAAUUUCCAGAAAUAUGGGUUUAACCGAACUGACCUCAAACUUGCAGACCUACUGUGCGAGAUACACAACUUCUAUACUGAAUGUUUGUUUCAGAUCUCCACCGUUCAGAGUCUAGAAAGAAUCAGGAAGAACAACAUAUCCCAAUUAUAGCCUAAUCCAACGGUUGCCGAAAGACAAAACAGAUAGCAAAGAAGACUGUCCAGAAGUGUAUUUUCCCAGAUAUUUCCCCCCUCGAUAUCUCUCAAAUAGAGACUCAUAUAGACAAUCCCUCCGAUGAAAAUGUACACGACAUGGAUGAGCACAACGUAUCCGAAUAUCGUUCUGAUCCAACGGUGGAAGGUGAAGUUAUAGCUAUCAGAUGUUCUGCCAUCAAUAUGUCUUCUCUCCAGCCUCUCUCUAAACUCUCUCUUACUCUUACCAGUCCCUCAAAGAGAGAAAAUAGAAUGAUAUUUAUAGUUCUAACAUGUUAAUUGCAAAUUUAUCCCCACCCCUUUUUUAUCAUUUGUACAUAAACUCCCAACCUUCUAUUAUUUGAAUAUUUACCUCUCUUGAUUAUACGUAUUCAUUUUGUCCUCACAAAUGUUUUUCUUUCCAAUAAUUUAGUACUAUAUUCACUUUUCAUUUCAUUAAAUCACUAUUUUUAUCUUGAUUUAGUUUCUUUAAUUUAAUUUAACCCAUUUUACUAUUGGUUAAAUUUCUCAUCUUUUAAAUACCUAGAAAAAUUAUAACCUGAGGUUUACAAUACAUGUUUUUAAUAAUCAUCCAUAUAGCAUCAUUUGACAUGUUUAAGCAUGACUAAAGAUGUUAAAAAAAACCAACCAAUCGAGUAAACCGAAAUAACCAAUAAACAAAUUAACCAAAAAAUCUAAGAAAUCGAUUAAAAACAAAAUCACUCAGUCAGCUAAAAAAUCAAAGAAAUCAAUAAAAAAAUAAGAAAAUUAACCCUAUCCAGUUCGGUUUCUGUUUUAGAAAGCUAAAACUAAUUGAAGCAUACUAGUUCAAUUGAAUUUCAAUAGUAUAAAAAGAAAACAUAUUCAAACCCUAAAAGAAUUUGAGUCGCCCCUCCCCCUCUCUUUUGUUUUCUCUUGUUCUCCUAAGAUUACCUAACCCUAAAUUCCUUUUGAGUUUUAACACCAACCACAACUUAACACCUCCCGCUUGCCCUCUCUCUCUCACUCUUUUUUUCUUCUCUUAACCCUAAAUCAUCUCUCUCAUUCUAGUUUGAUUUACAAAAAAUUAAAUAUUUUCAAAGCUUAAAUCCAUCUAUUCUAAGGUAAUCUCAAACAAAAACAAGUUGUAAUAUUUUAAGCUUAUAAUAGAGUUUAUUGCUAUGUUUCAGUUGUUGUUUUUUUAAUAUUUAGGAAUUUUAUUGAAACUACUGUUAGCUUUGAACACUUUAGUCAUGUUUAUAUUGUCUCCUAUUUUGUUUAAUCAAAAGAUUUUUUAACUUGAUUUCACUAAUUAAAAGUCAACUAUUUUGUUUUAGAAUUUCUGUUUGGUGACCGACCUUGCAAAUCUUCCAGGAUAGUACUAAGAAUGUAUGAAUCUAAUGAACCGAACUUUGGAUUUUCAUUCAGUGAUAUGUUAAUGGAAGGAUCAGAUCUACGAUGAAAAUUACCAAAACUUCAAAGGUGUUUUUCAUCUCUUCAUUCUUUCACUUCAUUUUUUUAAAUAUUUUUCAUUAAUACUUGGUUUAAGUAAUUUUCAAAUAAGAAGUUGCUAAGCAUGUGAAGAAAUCUUUCUUGGAAAGAGAAGUUGACUUGCAAGAAUGGGAGAUCCUUAAAAAAUCAUAUCAAUUUAAAGCAAGUAAGGGUGGAGAUGGUACUAGCAGGGAAGCUUAUAUGGAUUUAUCAAAAUCAUACAAUGAUGUAAGUUUCUUUUCUUGGCCAUUUGAAACUACUGAGUUUUUUUAUUUAUAAAAAUCAAUUGUAAAGUAUUUUGUAUUUUAUUUUAUUUUUAUUUUUUGUGGGUCAUCGAUCUAAAUGGAAAUAUAUUAUGUACCUGGUUUUAUUAAGAUGUAGUUAUAUAUCAUUAAAUCUAUUGCAUGUGCAAUUUGAUUUUUACUUCUUGACAUUUAUAUUUAUUGUUUUCAUGUCCUUCUCAUUAUCAACUAUGCUAGACAGAUUGGAUUUCUUGCUCAACAUUAUACGGGGUCACAAAUGGUUAUAUUAAAUCUCCUACUAGUGGUUGCAAAUCAUAUUCAAAUACGUAUGAGAUGGAUUUUUUUUCUUCCAUAUUAUUGUUUUUAUUAAAAAAAACCUCUACAUGUUUUAAUAUUUCUAGCUUUUUUUUAAUAAAAUUCUAUCUAUAGUCUACAUAUAUGCAUUUUAGUAUGUGUGCUCUCCCUUUUGUUUUUUUCCUUUGAAAAGGCAUAGCUACUCGUAGUAUUUACAAAGAAGACAUUAAUAUUCUUUUAAUCCUGUCUUUUAUGAUAAGCUGGUUUUCAAUGGAAUAUUUUAUUGAGAUAGCAUAUUUUCCAUGGUAACUUUUAUGUACAACUAUCCCUUUAUGGGUUCAACACAAUUUUAAUGGUCAUUUAUGGCCAUCGACUUUGCCUCAGUUGUUGUAUAUUACUCUGAUUCAGUUGUCGAUUACUAAAAAAAUUCUAAUAUAUUGCUAAUUUGUUAGUGUUUUUUAUAGUAUUAACCUUGCAAAAAAAUUUAAUUUUUGUUGUUGCUGAGUUUUCUAGAUGUUGUUAUUGCUUGGUUUUUUAUUUAUUUAUUUAUUCAAUUUCAUCUUAUUUAAAUUUAUUCUUAUUAAAUUUGUUAAUAUGUUAAUGUAUUUGCUUGUAAGAAAUGUUAACACCUUUUUGUUAAUUUGAGGUGAUUAUAUUUCCGAGAUAUAUGUUCUUUUUAAUUGGAUUAAAAAUAUAUUUGUGUACAUUUAUAAAGAAAAAACAGAAGGCUUAAACCCAACAAAAUUUUGUUAAAACCCAAUUUAAUAUAGGUUCAUUAAAAAAACUUAAAAUGUCCAUUUUUGUUGUGCUAGGUUUAUGGUUUUUACACCAAAAAAAUUUAUCUUGACCAUACCAAUCCGGUUCAGUUUGAAUUGAUUUUUGGUUUAGUCUAGGUUAUUUUCCCUAAAUUUAGCAUAUCCUAAUUCGGUUUGAAUUUUUUAUUUAAAUCAGACCAAACUGGAUUAUGAAUGCUCCUAUAAGCAUUUGUUUCAGUUAACUUGAUUUGAUAAAUAUAAAUAUAUAUAAAUCAACAUGCCGUGCAAGAUAACUACAAUCCCAUGUAGGGUAUGCAUCAUAAAAAAUAAUUGAGACAAGAAACUUUAAGUUUGGGACUCAAUUAUGGAUUUUCUAAAAACAUAUUAUAUUUGUAUAUGAUAAAGUAAUUGAAAUCCUACUCAAUAUUUGAUCAUUAAAAUUUAACUGAUUUAGAAGAAGUAUAAAGGAAAAGGAAAGAAGAUAAUGAUGAAUGAACUAAAACAAUUUGUUCUAAUCUAUCUAUAUAAUAAAAAGAUUGAUUUUGAAUGAAAGACAAUGGUAUUUCUUAUUCAAAAAUGGAUAAUUGAGAAAUAAACCAGAAACAAUAAUAAUAAUUAUAGAAAUUGAAAUGAUAGCACUAAAUAUUAAACAAACAAACAAGACGAGUCCACACACAUAAACAAAUUAACUAAAUAAAAACAAUAACACUUACAUUAAACAAAUAUCAAUAAAUAAAUAUCUUGUUUUAAAAAAUAGUUUAAAAACUAAAUUAUUUUUCCGUCUACCAUUUAAAACAUAAAUGAAAUUAAAUAAGAUCUUGGCAUGGACAACAAACACAUAUAAUCCAUAAUCUAAUUCCCGAGGAAAUCAACAUUCUAUGUCGAGAAGCAGAGAAGCUCUUUUGGCUUUAUAAGUUGUCGCCCAGUACGUAACCAAGGCCUGUCUAGCAUCCUCCAAGCCAUACGUAACACCUUUCCUUUGAGUCAAAAUCCCAUUCCCAUCCUCGAAAGGAUCUUCGAGAUGCUGCAUGUUCACAAAAAAGGUACAGGCUUUAGAUCAGCUAAAAGCAUAUGAGAAGGAAGUAAAGAAGCAACUUAAAUCGCAUACUUGAUGAACUGCUAUAUCAUUCAUUCCCUUCAAUAUCUUCAUUUUGCUUUUCAACUUCAACAAACUUGGCUAUCUUCCUCGUACGAAUUGAAAAAAUUGGCCAGUUUUUGUGAUACAGAUUGCUGACUUUCAUCCAAGGAUUCUUCAUUUCCACCAUAAUCAUCGUCAUUUUCAUAAACCAAAUGAAUUCCACAUUUCUUCAGCUCGACCCCUUCAAUCACAGGUGGUUUUCGCUUUCUUACCUGUAUCUCAGAUCCAUCUUUCAGCAUUAAAACCAAUGGAUUGAAAUGUGAAUAUCGGCAUAAGUGGAUAUGAUCUUCAUGAGUCUUUGGUAUUCCCUGUAAGUACAAUGUGGUGCUGAAAAUAGGUUUAUUCUGAUCCAGUAGAUUGACCUGAAUGUCUGGUACAACUGGCAAAUAUCUCAACUGCUCUGGUAUCUGACGGUCGAGAGAGACAACGACACCUAUAAUCACAGCUUUGAUUUCACGGUUUCUUCGCUCUGAAAAUUUUACAUCUUCUUGAGAAAACCAAUCUGGGAUUUUGCUCCCAGGCAUGCUUAGGUUGCGUAUAUUCCUCAAGCAAACCUAGAAUAAUAAUGAAAAAGAAAGAAAGAAAAAAGUAAGAGGCAAAACCUUGUUACUCUAAAACUGGCACAUAUAGGUACAAGAUAGAGAACCUUGGAUAGCCUUCUCUUUACUUUCAAGGAGCAUGCCUUGCAAUUGCUCAUAUAUAACCGUUUCAAGGAUUUCAAGCAUUCAAUGCCAGGAAUAUCCACCACUUUCUCGCAAUUUGUCAUGUUCAGCAACGUUAAGCUUCCCAAGUUUGAAACAUCCGACAUAGUUUCCAAUGCAAAGCAGUUGGAAACAUCCACUUCUACUAAGCUUGAGGGAAGCGGAGGGAGAGACUCAAGUUCUUCGCAGUGGGGCAAGUGAAGCUUCCUUAGAAGAGAAAGGCCACAUAAACUAGAUGGAAGACUGCUGAAAUUGUUAUGGCCAAGAUCCACCAUCUCUAAUGAUGACAGUUUCUCAAAAUCGUCAGGAAUUUUACCUGAUAUUCUCCAAGCACGGGCAUUUAGUUCUUUUAGCAAGGAUAGCUCGAAGAAGGAACUUGGGAGGACAACCAAUUGCUCCUGUGUGCUGGGAGAUUCAAGUGGCUCUUUUCCCAUUUUCAAUAUCAUUAAGUUAGAGAGCUUUCCAAAACUUUCAGGUAGUACUGUAACAGCUGUCUUCUCCAUUAACAAGUGGCAUAAAGACUUCAACUUCCCAAUAGAAACUGGAAGCUUUUGGAGCUUUCUACACUGAUGUAAUCUCAACAUCACAAGGUUUUCCAGCAUCCCAAAGGAUUCAGGCAACUCAUUAAUAUUACAACCAAACAAGUUUAAGGUAGUAAGACUCAACAUGCUCCCAAUUGAUUCUGGCAAAGAACUAAGAGAUGUACACUUCCUCAUGUAAAGCUUCUCAAUCAUUUUCAAACCACCAAUCUGCUCUGGAAGAUGUGAGAUUGAUGUCUCAUCUAGCUCAAGUUCGCUAAUAGAAGCUAGUCCUCCAAUGGAAUCAGGUAAUUUGCUCAGGGACCGACACCCUCCAGCUGAUAAUAUUUUUAAAUAAGGUAAUGAACCGAUUGCAGGAGGUAAUUCCUUGAUUGCACUGCUAUUGAUGGAAACUUCGGUCAAUAACUGGAGAUUGCCAACAGAUUCAGGAAUCGCAGUAAGUGAUUGACACCACAUCAAACUUAGUUUCUCAAGGUUUGACAAAGAUCCGACAGAAUCAGGCAGUUCUUCUACUGCAGAUUGAUUGAGAGAAAGUUCCUUCAGAGAACUCAGGUUUCCCAAGUGUUUUGGCAGCCUUUUGAUGAAUUGGCAUCCAUUCAAACUAAGCUUCUCCAGUUUUGUAAGGCGGAAAAUAGAUUCGGGCAGCACUGAUAUAGCAGUUUUAUCAACAAGAAGUUGUUUUAAGGAAUACAUGCUGCCUAUUUCCUGUGGCAAGUCUUUCAAGUUUGGACAGUUAGAGAGAUUGAGGUUCUGAAGAACUUUUAGCCCAGAUACAUCACUUGGAAAUUCAACAAGGUUUGAGCAAUCAUUCAAGUUCAACUGAAGUAAUGUCCUUGCAUUCCCCACUGAUUUGUGAACCUUAGUUAGCCGAACGCAACCCUGGAGAUUAAGUUUUUCCAAGGUUUUACAUCCAGAUAAAUCAGGACAAGCCACGAGAUUAUAGCAACCGUGAAGAUCCAUAACCAUCAAGUUCUUGGCCACCUACAAAGAUGAAUUUUAAGUAGCAAACAUGAGUUACUAAGAGGAAAACGACAUCAUUUUCCACAAGGGACAGAUUGCAAAUACUAGAAUGAAUUCAAAUGAAUUGUGAUGAUGACACUAUCCCACAUCGGUUAGGAGAGGAGGUCAUGGUUGUUUAUAAGCACAAGGUUCAACCAUUCCCUGGUGAUUUUAUAAGCACAAGGUUCAAUCUCCCUUUGGCAUGAUUGAAACAGGGAGACCUGAGUAGUUAUUUAGCAUUUUCUUUUAAGCCAUUAUAUGUACUAGAUAAACAAAUCAUACCUUGUUACUGGUCCAACCCCAAACUCGUUCAAUUCCACUCUCCGAAAGAUCAAGCACAGCUAGCUCAUGAGGAGCAUAAUCAGAAGGAAGAUUUUUCAUAGGACAAUUUUUCCACUGAAGCCACUUCAGGCCAGCAGGAAAAUUCUUGAACUUCCCUUGCAGUUUUGCAUGAUUGAUUUGCAGCAGUCUUAGAUUAACCAUUGAUUUAAAGCCUUCAGUGUCAAGUAUCAUCUCUCCCUCCUCUUGUCCUUGUCGAAGAAAAAUGUUACACUUUUCAAUCAAGUACGCAAGUGCUGAACACGGAUUCAGUGCUCUAACCCAAGAAAUCCAUUGAGUUCUCGUAUAUUUCUUCUUUUCUUCUCCCUCUUGUCCUCGUCGAAGAAAAAUCUUACACUUUUCAAUCAAGUACGCAAGUGCUGAACAAGGAUUCAGUGCUCUAACCCAAGAAAUGCGUCGAGUUCUCGUAUAUUUCUUCUUUUCGAAGUCGAAAACUAUACCUUGUACACUUUCAGUGCCCUGUUGACAGUCAUUAAAGGAAGACAUUCCAGAAUAAGAUUGGAAACAAAGAUUCAGAUCCUCUCAUGUUUCUUUUAGAAUUUAAAUUGGAUGAACAUGAUUUGAUUCAUAAAAAAUAAUAAUAACUCAACUUUUUAUUAUUUUAUUGCUCUCGCCUAAUCAUAAUUACUGAAUUCAAAAUCAAACAUAAAAAAUCCUAAUCCGACAUUUUAAUCCGACAUUUUAUAGUACUGUAACGAAAAAAAGAGCACAAACAAUCUAGGAAAAUAAAAAUUAAACACCUUAAAGUUUGCGAAGAAUCACAUAUUUUUCCCGAUUGAAUCACUUGGAAACAAAAUCCAUACUCAUCUCUCAGAUUUCAGAAGAUUCUUUAUCGAUAGGUUUUAUCGAUAAUACAUAAAUAUAGAAUGACUAAUAUUACUUAUCAAAAAUAUAAUAUUAAUAUUUAGAAUGUUCUAUCAAAAGUGUUAAGGUUAAGGUCAAAAGUGGUUAGAAUGCUCUAUCAAAAGAUAUAAUAUUGUACUAAUAUUACUUAUCAAAAUAUUAUAUUAAUAUUUAGAAUGCUCUCACUACAAUAUUUAACAGUUUUAUCAACGGAAUUUUAACACAUAUUCCAUUAGUAAUAAUUUACCAAUAAAAUCACCGACAGAAAUGCUCCAUCGAUGAAUCUUUCAUCAGUAAUUAUCGGUAAUUUUUUAUCCGUUGGUAAUAAAAAAAAUAUUAUUACUGACGAAACAGACACGUAAAAAAAAAUUACCGCUUCAUUCCAUCGGUAUAUCCCUCGGUAAUAAUAUUUUUUAUUACCAACGGAUUUAUCAAGGGAUAUACCGACGGAAAUUCCAUCGGUAAUUAUUUAAAAACAUUUAAAAAAAUUCAUUUUAUAAAAUUAUAAAAUAAUUAAAUUAACAUAAAAUCAACACUCUAUAAUAUAUACUCAAAAUGCUUGGAAAAAAGAAUAAUAAAAUCAACUCAAAAAAAUUUGCAACAAAUAAGUAAAAUGAAAAGAUAAAUUCAACUAAAAAAAUUCAUAUGAAAAAAUGAAGUUGCAAUUGCUAAAAAUUUAAAAAUCCUAUAAAUAAAUCAACUAAAAAUUGAUCUCGUAUGAAAAAAAAAAUCUCACAACAACAUUUAUACAAUUAUUAAGAACAAAAACAAUUAAAAAUAAAAUAAAAAAUAAAUAUAUUGAAAAAAAUCAUGAAAAAAAGAAGAAAAAAGAAAAAUCUUACCUUAAUAUAGUUGCAAGUGAAGCUAAGGAGAGAGAAAAAAUUUCGUAAAGCAUAUUAAUUAAAAACAAAACUAAGAGAAUAAAAGAAGAAAAAAGAAGAAGACAUACCCGAGUAUGGAGGAGAAGAGAAGGAGAUGAGGAGAGAAGAGAAGAGAAAGAAAUAGAUAUUGAUGUUUUUUACAUAUAGUGAAGAAGAAGAAGUAGAAGAAGAAGAAUAAUAAGAAAUGAGUAUGUCUCUUAUGAAAUAAAGGGAUUCAGGCUUUUUAUUGGAGCGCGUUAGCGACAGAUUUACCAACGGAUAAUUAAAUAUUAAUAAUAUUUAAUUAUCCAUCGGUAAUAUUUAAUUUAAAUUUUUAAUUUUGUAAAAAAUUUUCAGAAACCACUAACAAUUACUAAUGAUUUUUCAAUCCGUCGGUGAUUCCGUCUGUAAUAUUUAGAUGAAAAUUUUAAAUUAAUUGAAUUUUUUCAGAAAACCAUCAAAUAACACUGACGACUUUUCAAUCCAUCGAUGAUUUUGUCCGUAGAGAACAACAAUUAAUAGUGCAAUUAGAAAGUGAACAGUUCUGGAGCUCUCUGGAAAAUACCGACGGAAAAUUCCGUCGGUGAUUCCCUUUGUAAUUGACAUAAUAAACAGUGUUCACAAUUUACCAACGAAUUUACCAACGGAUUUUACCGAUGGAAUAAAUUCCAUCGGUAAUUCCGUUAGUAAAAAUAACACGUCAUCAUGUUUUUUUGCUUUGUUUUAAUUAUUUUUCCCCACUGUAAUCCCUUCGGUAUAUAUCAAGGGAAUAUUUUUGUUGGUAAAAUCUCUUGGAAAUUUACCGACGGAAAUACUCCUUUAGUAUUUCCGUUUAUAUUUAUUGAUUUUCUGGUAGUGUCUAUCAAAAGUGGUUAAGGUUAAACAAUUAUUUAAAACAUAGAAUAUAUUGAUAAGAAAAUACAUAAUAUACUCAUGGACUGGUAUAAUUAAGCUUCGAAAGUCAAAACCGGGAAUCAAACCCCUAAAACUUCAGCCUAGGAACCUAUCAGUCUUACCAUCAUCUGAUCUACUUAUGUGGGGGUAAAUUCUCAACCUUUAGUUAUAUAUUGAGCUUUUAAAAACUAUGAAAAAAAAAAGAGGAUGAAUGUGUAUGUAUAAAGUAAUGAGGUGCACCUUCUUGCGCAUCAGCGUUGACAUGAUUUCACCGCGAUCCCAUAGCCUGCUACGCCCUCCGGGAUCUGCAAGGUUUUCAUGUUGAACAAUUUGUCUUCCCAUGUCUCUGAGUUGAUCAUGCAUCCAUAAUUCAUCGUCUUCACGAAUCUUAAUGAGACAUUUUGAUGUCAGAACUCUGAUGACUGUCUCAGCACUAAAGCCACAACCCUUCAAAAUAUCAAUUGCUUCCUCUCUUUUCAUUCCCAUUUUAAAAAACAAACAAGCAAUAUCAAGGAAGACAUGCUUUCCAUCUUCAUCCAACUCAUCAUAACUUAUUCGUAACACAUCCUGAAGAUUAUGUGGCCUUAUUCGUUGCAGUUUUUUCAGGGCAUCUUCCCAUCUAUUUAACCCUCUCUCAUUAAACAAAGUAGAACCAAAAACUUCCAAAGCCAGAGGCAGUCCUCCUGUAAGUGACACAAUCUCCUUGGAUAUAUUCAUGUAUUCUUCUGUGGGUUUAUCUUUUCUGAGUGCAUGAUAACUAAAAAGUUGUAAGGCUUCCGGGUCACCUAACUCUCUAACCUCGUAAAAUUCAUUGACAAGGUGUUCAGCUAGAACAGCUUUGUUUCUUGUUGUAACAAUAACUCGACUUCCUUCACCGAACCAGCUUCUAUUCCCUACUAGUGCAUUCAGUUCGCUUACAUCAUCCACAUCAUCUA